rnacentral:lncRNA from 1 species
ACCUCUGGCUCCUCCAACCCUGCCGCCGCAGUGAGCCCCACAACGCGAGAGGGGAGUCCGCCGUAGCAGAAGGGAGAAAAUUCAAAACGAGACUACUCAACCUCGUCUUGGCUCCGAGGCCCCGCCGUGGAGACCACCACAAUGCGCAGGCGCAACUCUCCGGGAGGCGCAGCGCAGGCUCAUCAGAUUGGACCCGUCUCGGCCACCGUCGCCCAGUUCCCUUCCGAUUCCUUCUCCCUUCUCGUGUUUCCGCUCUGAAGUCUGAGGUAUUUGAUGUGUGCGGGCUGGGCACCGGUGGAAAUAGAACCUCGUGGUAUGGUCUGUAGAAACCCGAGGAAGAUAACUGAAGCCUGUCUUCUACUGCGCUCGAGGUGCAGUCUACCUUAGAGCUACUUGAUUAUCGGCGCAUACAUUUUUGUGGAGAAGCCUCGUUGUAUACUUUCUGCCAUGGCACAACUCCAGGCACGUUUCUACACGGAGAACAAGAAAUAUGCAGUAGAUGAUGUUCCUUUCUCAAUCCCUGCCACCUCAGAAGUUGCUGACCUUAGUAAUAUUAUCAAUAAAUUGCUGGAGACCAAAAAUGAGCUCCACAAACAUGUCGAGUUUGAUUUCCUCAUCAAGGGCCAGUUUCUUCGAAUGCCCUUGGUCAAACACAUGGAACUGGAAGACAUUUCAUCGGAAGAGGUUGUGGAACUAGAAUAUGUGGAAAAAUACACCGCACCCCAGCCAGAGCAAUGCAUGUUCCACGAUGACUGGAUCAGCUCAAUUAAAGGGGCAGAAGAAUGCAUUUUUCCCUCAUUGUAGGAUCCUGUCUGGUUCUUAUGAUAAGACUUCUCGAAUCUGGUCCUUGGAAGGAAAGUCAAUAAUGACAAUUGUGGGACAUACAGAUGUUGUGAAAGAUGUGGCUUGGGUGAAAAAAG